UACAACUUUCAACAACGGAUCUCUUGGUUUUGGCAUCGAUGAAGAACGCAGCGAAAUGCGAUAAGUAGUGUGAAUUGCAGAAUUCAGUGAAUCAUCGAAUCUUUGAACGCACAUUGCGCCCCUUGGUAUUCCAUGGGGCAUGCCUGUUCGAGCGUCA
rnacentral:rRNA from 1 species